GAGUUUGAUCAUGGCUCAGGACGAACGCUGGCGGCGUGCUUAACACAUGCAAGUCGAACGGAAAGGCCCUGCUUUUGUGGGGUGCUCGAGUGGCGAACGGGUGAGUAACACGUGAGUAACCUGCCCUUGACUUUGGGAUAACUUCAGGAAACUGGGGCUAAUACCGGAUAGGAGCUCCUGCUGCAUGGUGGGGGUUGGAAAGUUUCGGCGGUUGGGGAUGGACUCGCGGCUUAUCAGCUUGUUGGUGGGGUAGUGGCUUACCAAGGCUUUGACGGGUAGCCGGCCUGAGAGGGUGACCGGCCACAUUGGGACUGAGAUACGGCCCAGACUCCUACCGGGAGGCAGCAGUGGGGAAUAUUGCACAAUGGGCGGAAGCCUGAUGCAGCAACGCCGCGUGCGGGAUGACGGCC
rnacentral:rRNA from 1 species